rnacentral:rRNA from 1 species
GAUGAACGCUGGCGGCGUGCCUAAUACAUGCAAGUCGAGCGAACGGACGAGAAGCUUGCCUCUCUGAUGUUAGCGGCGGACGGGUGAGUAACACGUGGAUAACCUACCUAUAAGACUGGGAUAACUUCGGGAAACCGGAGCUAAUACCGGAUAAUAUUUUGAACCGCAUGGUUCAAAAGUGAAAGACGGUCUUGCUGUCACUUAUAGAUGGAUCCGCGCUGCAUUAGCUAGUUGGCAAGGUAACGGCUUACCAAGGCAACGAUGCAUAGCCGACCUGAGAGGGUGAUCGGCCACACUGGAACUGAGACACGGUCCAGACUCCUACGGGAGGCAGCAGUAGGGAAUCUUCCGCAAUGGGCGAAAGCCUGACGGAGCAACGCCGCGUGAGUGAUGAAGGUCUUCGGAUCGUAAAACUCUGUUAUUAGGGAAGAACAUAUGUGUAAGUAACUGUGCACAUCUUGACGGUACCUAAUCAGAAAGCCACGGCUAACUACGUG